rnacentral:rRNA from 1 species
GCACAUUUUAGAGCCUCAAUCAUUUCGGCUAAUAACCAAAAUUACAUUCAAAUCCAAAUUCAAAAUUCUAAUGCUAAAAAUUAUUCUUAAAUAAAUUUAUUGUAAUCCAUCACUACUCAUAUAAGCUGCACCUUGAUCUGAUUUAUAACAUAAUGAUAUAUUACAAUUAUAUAUUUCAAAAAAUAAUUUGUAACGAUGAUAUACAAGCAAAAUAAAAGUUUUAUUAAUCGUGAAUUAUCAAUUACAGGACAGAUUCCCCUGAUUGGAAUAAAAAACCGCCAAAUCUUUUGAUUUUAAAGAACAUAUCUAAUAUUUAUCAGGUCUAAGUAUUCUACAUUUAGAAUAAUGGGGUAUCUAAUCCCAGUUUAAUUCCUAAAUAUCUUAACUUCACAAUCAAAAAUUUAGUUAAAUUAAAAAUAAAAUUUCACCUUAUAUCAAUAAAAAUAAAAAUUAAUUAAUAUUAAUUAAGCAUAAUAACCGAAAAAAAAUAAUAGUAUUAUUUGUUUAACCGCA